rnacentral:rRNA from 1 species
GCUCAGGACGAACGCUGGCGGCGUGCCUAACACAUGCAAGUCGAGCGAUGAAGCUUCCUUCGGGAAGCGGAUUAGCGGCGGACGGGUGAGUAACACGUGAGCAACCUGCCUCAAAGAGGGGGAUAGCCUCCCGAAAGGGAGAUUAAUACCGCAUAAUAUCAGAGUUUCGCAUGAUUUUCUGAUUAAAGGAGUAAUCCACUUUGAGAUGGGCUCGCGGCGCAUUAGCUAGUUGGUGAGGUAACGGCUCACCAAGGCGACGAUGCGUAGCCGACCUGAGAGGGUGAUCGGCCACAUUGGGACUGAGACACGGCCCAGACUCCUACGGGAGGCAGCAGUGGGGAAUAUUGCGCAAUGGACGAAAGUCUGACGCAGCAACGCCGCGUGGGUGAUGAAGGUCUUCGGAUUGUAAAGCCCUGUCUUCGAGGACGAUAAUGACGGUACUCGAGGAGGAAGC